rnacentral:rRNA from 1 species
GAUGAACGCUGGCGGCGUGCUUAACACAUGCAAGUCGAACGGAAAGGCUCCUGCUUUUGGGGGUACUCGAGUGGCUAACGGGUGGGUGACUCGUGCGUGAUCUACCCGCCACUUCGGGGGAGACCUGGGAAGCUGAGGAUAGUUCCUGCUAGAACCGUUCUAUUCAUGGCAUCGUGGAAAGUUGUUCGGUGUGGGCUAGGUGUACGCCCUAUCAGCUUGUUGGUGGAGGAUUGGCCUACCAAGUCGUAGGCGGGUCGCCGGCAUGGGAGGGUGUACGGCCACAUUGGGACUGAGAGACGGCCCAGACGCCUACGGGAGGCAGCAGUGGGGAAUAUUGCACAACGGGCGCAAGCGAGAUGCAGCGACCCCGGGUGGGGGAUGACCGGCUUCGGGUUGCAAAAUCCUUUCGCUCGGGAAGAGGCGAUUUGUGACGGUACCUGGAGAAGAAGCCCCGGCUAACUACGUG